UCCCUUCAUGAUUGUGCAUGAUUGAAGAAACAAUCAAUUAUGCUAACAGACAACUCUCUCUCGCUCUCUCUUUCUCGUCCAAAACCCAUUCGAAAACAGAGCACGGCUUCUCCGGUCUCUCUCUCCCUCCACUGGCCACCAAACAGCGUCGGACCACCUCCAUUGGCUUCUUCUCGACCUUGCGCAGCUGCUAGAGGCAUCCUUGAACCGCGACACGGCCACCACCGGCGGCCGGAAGCUCCGCCCGGUUUGAGAUUGUUUUGGUUCCAAGCUUAAUAUCUCAAGCUACCGGUCACCAAUCCUCACCAAACUUCAUCCUCGAGCUCGCCUCAACCUCCUGAAACUCCCAGAAGUGUCCUUACACGGCGGCGAUGCGGGUGGUGGCAGCUGGAAGCCAGCCCCGAUCAAAAUCGAAAACCGAGCAAUCGAUCCUAAUAUCUCGAGCUACAGACCAUCAUUUCUUGUGAUUCUUGAACUGGUGAGCUCACCUUGAGUUUCUGAACAAAUCUACAGAAGGGAUCGAACCGAGUUGUUGAAGUUUUUACGUUGAUCGGAGCUUCGCUGGAUUCUGGAAAAUUUCCUACCAAACUCAACUGUUCUAGGUGAUUGACGGUCUUCCUUGGGUGAGCGGUUUCGGUGUGUAUUGUGUUAAAUUGAAGACGCAGUGGGAAUAUCGAGCGGGUAAUCCUGCAGGUCAGGAGAAUCAGGGUGGUGAUCGUGCGGGUUAGAGUAUUUGUUAUAGUUUUACAGCAAUUGUAAUAGUGAGGUGAGUUAAGCUCAUUUGAGCCUUACAAUUUGAUUUGGUGAGAGUGUGCUGUAAUAAAUAACUUGAGAAUUUGGUUUAUUGUUUUAUUGAGAGGUGUGAAGUGUGGUUGUUUGUGAGAAAAAAAUUCAGGACGUUUAUUUGUAAUUGUUAUUAUUCAUGUUUUGAAUUUGAAUUGGUUAUUCAAAAUUCGGGGCGUGACACUUCUACUCAUCCAACACAUCAUCCUUUGGAAAAUUUGAGAGAUUUCAGACAACACUAACAAGGAUAUCUGUCGUCUGAAAAAAAAAAAAAACAAACAAAAAUUAAUUUACAUUUAUUUAUUUUUCCACUCAAAACACGCAAAACCUAGCCUUUGUGAAAAAAACCCGUGUUCCCUCCCUUAGCUCAAAAUUUAGGUCACUCUCCCUCCCAAAUCAUUCUCAGCCUGCUCUCUCACUCACCUUCGCUCUCACCCUCAAUCCCCCUCACCCUCAUCGAGCCUCUCAGCCUUGCCCUCGCUCUCACUCUCUCUCACUCUCAGUGGGUUUUUCUUACUUCAACCUCUGAUACAACAAGGCACAACAUGUAAUUUGCAGAAGUAAGGAGAGAAACGAAGAAGGAAGAGAUCGACAAACUAUUUGCAGACCCACUCAGGCAACGAUUGAAGAGGAGAGAGAAGACAGUAGUGCGAAAUAGAAGCAACUGGAGUUCGAGAAAGCUGUCGAAGUCGCAGAUGAAGGUCCAAUUUCAACCCUUUAAUUCUCCGAGUCAAUCGAAUUGAAUCCGAUAAUUUCAAGCUAGGUAAUUAAAGUUUGAACGUUAAUAAUUAAAGUUUGAACUUUAAUCCGGUAAUUAUCUCACCUAAUUCUCAGGUCUGAUUGUUUUGUUUAAAGUUGUGGUCUUUGGAUGGAAAUUGGGGGUUUCAGAUUUCUGGGUUUUCCAUUGUUUUGUUUUUUUGCUGAAAUUGGGUUUUGCGUUUGUUUUCUUUGAUCCUCCAUUGUGGAAAUUGAGAAUAAGGGUUUGGUUUUUGCUUCAUUAAUUGUUCAUGGUUUGGGUGAUAAGGGUGUUUGUUUGUUUGAUAUGUUAACUGGUGAUGUCAAAUUUUGAAGGCAUCAAACUAUAUUCUUCAUGUGAGUUGUUAGUUCGACAUACAUUAAUGGGUGGUUUGGACUAUUUCAUGGAGUGUCAAACAUGGUAUCAAGGUGUGAGUUCUGGAAGUCUUGCAAAAGAAAACGUACGUUAUUAAAAUUUUGAGUUCUUUGUUGGCUUGCAAGAUAUAGGAUGUAGCAAUUCUCAAAGAAAGCAGAUGUUGGAAGAAACAUUUAAUUCUAGUGUUCGACUAUUAUGAUUCUUGGCAUGUUGAAAUGAGUCCCUUAUCUGGCAUACAAAUCCAGAAAUAAUCUCAUGCUGCUUUCUGGCUGUUAAAAUUGGCAUUAGGCAUUUCCUUUGCUAAUUGUUAUCCCAAAUCCUUAUCUGGACCUUUCCCUGCUAGAUUCCAUGUCACAAGCACUCUCACACUUCAGUAGAAUUUGACAAUGUAAGAUCAUUUCAUGUGCAAGUUUGGUUCAUGGGUGAAUUCUCUCACAUUUCAACAGAAUUUGACAAUCUGGACAUUGUUGAUGGUGCUUCCUCGCUUGCUCGAGAAACAAAGGUUCAAUCAUUAGUUGCUAUAAUUGGUGCAUUAAGUGAUAUGAUGAGACAUAUGAUGAGACAUCUGCGGAAAAGUAUACAUUGCUCACUGGAUGAUUCAAAUUUGGGGACAGAAGUUAUUGAAUGGAACCGAAAAUUUGGAGCAGCAGUGGAUGACUGCGUUGUUGAGUUAACACAUAAGCUGCUCUCUUUGAGAAAUUAAAGAAGGAGCCAUCUCACUCGCAAGAAAACAUUAGUCAUGAGACCAAGAACUGUGACUGCUGAUACAACAGCUCCAAGUGUUCCACAUAAUGAAUCGACAAUGUCCCUUAGGUUAAGCAGUCGCCAGAUUACCCUUCUGCUUUCAUUUAUCUGGGCACACUCCAUCUCCCCUUUAAAUACGCCUGAAAACUAUCAAGCAAUUGCUCAUACCUACAGCCUUUUGUUGCUAUAUGCUCGGACUAAGGGUAUUCCGGAGCAACGUACUGACAGAGUGUGGCUAUUUCAUAAUGAGAUACAUGAAGGACAUAUCGGAGGAUAAGAACUUGGACUUUUUUAGCAAGUGCAAAUCAAUUUGUUUCAGUGGGAGAGAAGAGGGAAGGCAGCCAGCAUAUACGCAGCACCAUAUUGAUGCAAUCAGAACGGAGUGGGCAAAAUUUGUUGUUAAAACAUAUAUGUAAGUAGUAUCGUAUCUAGCUAGUUAGUACUUGGGUAUAGGGACUUAUUUUGGUAACCUUGAUAUAUGAUAGACUUGCUAUAUUAAGGUUGCUUUUGGUUUGGAUUGUGGUUGAUCCGAAUAUGAAUUUGCACUUUGGUUCCAAAGUUGGAUAUGGCAAUGUAUGAAACAGAUGGCGGUAAUCUAUGACAUUGUGGUAUUUUGGAUAU